rnacentral:snoRNA from 1 species
AACCAUGGUGGGGACAAAGGGCUUGCAAUUCCUUGUAUCUUUCCCAUGCUUAGUAUAAGGUCUCACUAUCCUUUUGGGCAAAUGAAGAAAUUUGUUUCUUUAGGGC